ensembl:lncRNA
GGGACACCACGCGACCCGUCCUUAGCGGACACCACGCGACCCGUCCUUUAGGCGGACACCACGCGACCCGUCCUUUAGGCGGACACCACGCGACCCGUCCUUUAGGCGGACACCACGCGACCCUCUCUUUUCCCAGCUCCUCCCAUUGUUUCCUCUCCGCUGGCCUCCUGCCCUUUCCUCAAGAGUUCCUAUUUCUACUACCUUUUUAUAUGUGACCUUCUCAUAGCCCUCCCCAGUCCCCACCUUUUCCUUAGCACUUCCUUCCUCCAUGAUGGAGUAAUAUUCCUGUCCCUCAUGUCUCUCCCAGGUGACCCUUCAGAAGCAGGCGUUGGAGAGGGAUGUAGACCUUCUGAAAGAGAAAGUCAAAUGGACUGAGGGGGAACUGAAGGAGAGCCAGAAGAAAGAGGCCCAAACACAAACCAAACUAACGGAGACAGUGCUUGAGAGGGAGGGGUUGAAUGUUACUCUGGAGCAGAACAGGAGGAGAGAGAGGGGACUAGAGGAGGAGGUGAAGAAUCUGACUGAGGAUCUGGCUGAGGCCCUCCGACGUGUCAAAGAACUAGAAGGUGAGGAGGGUGGGAGGAGGAGAGAUGGCUGUUGUUGAUAAUGGGGUGUUUACCCUUUAUGAAAAGAGACGCUAGACAAUGCUGUUGUCUUAAGGUUACGAAUUUUGAAUUGGACGUGUUUGAGUUAACAAAAGAGUGAAAU